rnacentral:rRNA from 1 species
UACAGAGGGGGCAAGCGUUAUUCGGAAUUAUUGGGCGUAAAGGGCGCGUAGGCGGCCUUUCAAGUGACGGGUGAAAUCCCUCGGCUUAACCGAGGAACUGCCUGUCAGACUGGAAGGCUUGAGACCGGGGAGAGGUGAGUGGAAUUCCCAGUGUAGCGGUGAAAUGCGUAGAUAUCUGGAGGAACACCGGUGGCGAAGGCGGUUCUCUGGAACGGUACUGACGCUAGACGCGAAAGCGUGGGGAGCGAACAGG